CUUUACUUUGAUUCUACCUUUGGCUAAUGGUGAAGUCAGUUUUAUGUAAACCACAGAAUUAGGUCUCCUUUACAUGUCUAUCUUGCCCUACUUGCUCUUUCCUCUAGUAUAUUUAGAUCAUUUAUAUUUAAAAUAAAUAUUGGGCUUUCUGUUUCUUGUUUUAUUUGUUUAUUUUCUCUAUUUCUCAUUCUUGUUUCUGAUAUCUUCCAUUAUUUUCAGGGAACAGUUUAAAAGAAUUUCAUUUUGAUUUAUCUUCCUGGUUUUGAGUGUAUCUCUAUGAUAGCUUAUCCCACUACCUUUCUUUUUAAAAAUAUUGCUUUAGGAAUUACAAUAUAUACAUAAUAUAUUUGCAACUUACCACUCUACUAGUAAUGGCAUUUCAUUUUCAAUCAAAACAUGAGAAUCUUGUUUCCAUUUAAAUCCAUUUACCCUUUAGUAUGUCCUGUUCAUACAGUGAACAUUGUUACCAAAUGAUAUAAUUUUCUUUCAAACAUCAAACAUAAAUAAACAUAAAUGAACAAACUGAGGAGGAAAAAGUCUAUUAUGUUAUAUAUUCUUCCUUUUAGCAAUUACAGGGGUGAGAAAAUGAUACUUAAUUGCUAAAAGGAAGAAUAUAUAAUAUAAUAGACUUUUUCCUCCUUAGUUUGUUCAUUUGUUUGAUAACUCAAUUAUCCUUUCUUCCUUCUUUCUCCAACAUUUUCUUUUCCUCUAAAGGUCUCUGAAGUUUGAUUCAUUGAUUGAUUUUUUCAGUCUAUUUUCACACUGGGUAAUUUAUGUUGUUAUAUCUUGAAGUGCAUGGAUUUAUCCUUCUGUCAUCCUCAAACUGUUCAGUCUGUACAGUGAGACAUUUUGUUUUGUUUUUAAUUUGUUAUAUUUAUCUGUUCUAAACCCUACUGAGCUUUUAAGAAACAUUGACUGUCAAUAUCUUUAUCACAUCAGUAUUCUCUUUUAUUAUCUUUUUGUUUUUAAAUGUUCUGAUCCUUAAUAUGAUGAGUAAUUUUUAAUUUUACACUUGAUAUUUUAGGUAUUACAUUUGAGACUCCCCCAUUUUAUUUAAAUUUCCUGUUCAGUAGUUCUCCAUUACAGCCAUGCUGGAUUUAAGUCCAGGUU
rnacentral:lncRNA from 1 species